AACGAACGCUGGCGGCGUGGAUAAGACAUGCAAGUCGAACGGGACAGACCGAGUAGCAAUAUUUGGAAUGUUCAGUGGCGAACGGGUGCGUAACACGUGGAUAACAUUCCGGAAAGCGGGGAAUAGCCCAGGGAAACUUGGAUUAAUACCGCAUGUGGCCGCAAGGCUAAAGACGGGGACCGCAAGGCCUGGCACUUUCCGAUUGGUCCGCGGCCUAUCAGCUAGUUGGCGGGGUAAUGGCCCACCAAGGCUACGACGGGUAGCUGGUCCUAGAGGACGACCAGCCACACUGGAACUGAGACACGGUCCAGACACCUACGGGUGGCAGCAGUCGAGAAUCUUUCACAAUGGGGGCAACCCUGAUGGAGCGACGCCGCGUGGAGGAUAAGGUCUUCGGAUUGUAAACUCCUGUCAUGCGAGAACAAGGUACUCAGGCUAAUAACCUGAUUGUUUGAUGGUACCGCAAGAGGAAGAGACGGCUAACUCUGUGCCAGCCGCCGCGGUAAGAC
rnacentral:rRNA from 1 species